rnacentral:rRNA from 1 species
AUAAUGGGUCAGCGACUUAUAUUCUGUAGCAAGGUUAACCGAAUAGGGGAGCCGAAGGGAAACCGAGUCUUAACUGGGCGUUAAGUUGCAGGGUAUAGACCCGAAACCCGGUGAUCUAGCCAUGGGCAGGUUGAAGGUUGGGUAACACUAACUGGAGGACCGAACCGACUAAUGUUGAAAAAUUAGCGGAUGACUUGUGGCUGGGGGUGAAAGGCCAAUCAAACCGGGAGAUAGCUGGUUCUCCCCGAAAGCUAUUUAGGUAGCGCCUCGUGAAUUCAUCUCCGGGGGUAGAGCACUGUUUCGGCAAGGGGGUCAUCCCGACUUACCAACCCGAUGCAAACUGCGAAUACCGGAGAAUGUUAUCACGGGAGACACACGGCGGGUGCUAACGUCCGUCGUGAAGAGGGAAACAACCCAGACCGCCAGCUAAGGUCCCAAAGUCAUGGUUAAGUGGGAAACGAUGUGGGAAGGCCCAGACAGCCAGGAUGUUGGCUUAGAAGCAGCCAUCAUUUAAAGAAAGCGUAAUAGCUCACUGGUCGAGUCGGCCUGCGCGGAAGAUGUAACGGGGCUAAACCAUGCACCGAAGCUGCGGCAGCGACACUAUGUGUUGUUGGGUAGGGGAGCGUUCUGUAAGCCUGUGAAGGUGUACUGUGAGGUAUGCUGGAGGUAUCAGAAGUGCGAAUGCUGACAUAAGUAACGAUAAAGCGGGUGAAAAGCCCGCUCGCCGGAAGACCAAGGGUUCCUGUCCAACGUUAAUCGGGGCAGGGUGAGUCGACCCCUAAGGCGAGGCCGAAAGGCGUAGUCGAUGGGAAACAGGUUAAUAUUCCUGUACUUGGUGUUACUGCGAAGGGGGGACGGAGAAGGCUAUGUUGGCCGGGCGACGGUUGUCCCGGUUUAAGCGUGUAGGCUGGUUUUCCAGGCAAAUCCGGAAAAUCAAGGCUGAGGCGUGAUGACGAGGCACUACGGUGCUGAAGCAACAAAUGCCCUGCUUCCAGGAAAAGCCUCUAAGCAUCAGGUAACAUCAAAUCGUACCCCAAACCGACACAGGUGGUCAGGUAGAGAAUACCAAGGCGCUUGAGAGAACUCGGGUGAAGGAACUAGGCAAAAUGGUGCCGUAACUUCGGGAGAAGGCACGCUGAUAUGUAGGUGAAGUCCCUCGCGGAUGGAGCUGAAAUCAGUCGAAGAUACCAGCUGGCUGCAACUGUUUAUUAAAAACACAGCACUGUGCAAACACGAAAGUGGACGUAUACGGUGUGACGCCUGCCCGGUGCCGGAAGGUUAAUUGAUGGGGUCAGCGCAAGCGAAGCUCUUGAUCGAAGCCCCGGUAAACGGCGGCCGUAACUAUAACGGUCCUAAGGUAGCGAAAUUCCUUGUCGGGUAAGUUCCGACCUGCACGAAUGGCGUAAUGAUGGCCAGGCUGUCUCCACCCGAGACUCAGUGAAAUUGAACUCGCUGUGAAGAUGCAGUGUACCCGCGGCAAGACGGAAAGACCCCGUGAACCUUUACUAUAGCUUGACACUGAACAUUGAGCCUUGAUGUGUAGGAUAGGUGGGAGGCUUUGAAGUGUGGACGCCAGUCUGCAUGGAGCCGACCUUGAAAUACCACCCUUUAAUGUUUGAUGUUCUAACGUUGACCCGUGAUCCGGGUUGCGGACAGUGUCUGGUGGGUAGUUUGACUGGGGCGGUCUCCUCCUAAAGAGUAACGGAGGAGCACGAAGGUUGGCUAAUCCUGGUCGGACAUCAGGAGGUUAGUGCAAUGGCAUAAGCCAGCUUGACUGCGAGCGUGACGGCGCGAGCAGGUGCGAAAGCAGGUCAUAGUGAUCCGGUGGUUCUGAAUGGAAGGGCCAUCGCUCAACGGAUAAAAGGUACUCCGGGGAUAACAGGCUGAUACCGCCCAAGAGUUCAUAUCGACGGCGGUGUUUGGCACCUCGAUGUCGGCUCAUCACAUCCUGGGGCUGAAGUAGGUCCCAAGGGUAUGGCUGUUCGCCAUUUAAAGUGGUACGCGAGCUGGGUUUAGAACGUCGUGAGACAGUUCGGUCCCUA